UCCAUACUAUUCUUCUUAUUGAUUUCUUUGACUGAUUGUUCCUUGGAAUAGAUUGGUUGUAGAAAUUAUGUCGUUUAAUUAUUUAAUCGAUAAGCUGAAUUAUCCAUCUCUGAUGAGAUGCAUUUAACGAGAUAUUAACUAAUGUUACACGAAAGGGACUCGUUUUAAUGCAAAACGAUUAAAUUUAUUAAAAUUACACACACAACAUUCUGGAAAGAGUGAUGAAUGGGGCAUGAGGGGCAUAACAAACAACACAGAGCAACUAAGUCAGCAACAAGAAUAACAGCAGUAACAACAUUGUUGGACUUCGGGUACUACAGCUAGUAGUAGCAGUAGUAGUGCUAUGCUUGCUAUAAUCAUAGUAGUAGUACGACUCCAACUAGAAGCCAAAGCACACAACUCUCUUCUGAAAUUUUUUAUAAGUUUUCUGCAUGCAAUUCAUUCUCCUUAUGUUUUUUACCAUGAUGUUCAUGAUGAUGACUGGCUGGUUGACUAGCUGGCUGUAUGCUUUUGGACAUGUUGUUUAGUGUAAGUUUUGCAAUGUUACAGUAAGGACGCGUUUUUUCGCUUUUGCCAAUAUUGUGUGUGGCAAAAAUUCGUUUAACUUUAACGGCUUGUAAAGAAGAAAUACAUUUAAAAAAACUAAACAUGUUUUUAGAGGAACAUCGAAGAAAACUAAAAGAUUCUUGAUAAGUGAAAGAAUAAAAUAAAUAUAAAAAGGAAAAAGAUUCCUCUUGUAAUAAAACUAAGAAACGAAAAAGAAUAUAUUUGAAAAAAGUUUGUAAGAAACGAAAACUGUUGCAAAAAAAACCGGUUAAUUAAAAAAGACUUAAACAUAAAAUAGUGUAGAAGUAUAAAAGGAGAAUUUUAAGAAAAUAAAAAAAAAUAAAUUCCAAAUAAAAACAAAAAAAUAAGAAAGCAAGAAUUUACAAAAAAAAAAAAAAAAAAUAAAUAAAUAAAAAAUUAAAAACAAAAUAUUGUAUAUGUGAAUAAAAUUUAAAUAAUUAUUAAAUUACAUUCUACUUCCUAUUCUCCAAAGGAAAAUUUAAGUUUAAAUAAAAGUCAGGCUCUGAAUUGCUAACAUUGCUGUUAACUUGUCCUGUAAAAUUUUUAUCAUCUAAAUAAUAUUUCAUAAAAAUAGUGCAAAAAAAUAUAUAUAUAUUUAUUUAAAACAAACUCCAACCUACACCAGCAGCUGUAAUUUGAAAUAGAAAUAAAAUAAG